CCUGAUAGCUCAGUUGGUAAAGCAUCUGCCUGCAAUGCAGGAGACCUGGGUUCGAUCCCUGUAUUGGGA
rnacentral:tRNA from 1 species